rnacentral:rRNA from 1 species
UAGGAAUAUGCCUUAAAGUGGGGGACAACUUGGGGAAACUCAAGCUAAUACCGCAUAAUCUCCUUGGAGAAAAGCUAGGGACCUUUUGGCCUGGCGCUUUAAGAUUAGCCUGCGUACGAUUAGCUAGUUGGUAGGGUAAAGGCCUACCAAGGCGACGAUCGUUAGCUGGUCUGAGAGGAUGACCAGCCACACUGGAACUGAGACACGGUCCAGACUCCUACGGGAGGCAG